rnacentral:rRNA from 1 species
UACGUAGGGGGCAAGCGUUGUCCGGAUUUAUUGGGCGUAAAGAGCGUGUAGGCGGUCAGGUAGGUCCGUUGUGAAAACUCGAGGCUCAACCUCGAGACGCCGAUGGAAACCAUCUGACUAGAGUCCGGAAGAGGAGAGUGGAAUUCCUGGUGUAGCGGUGAAAUGCGCAGAUAUCAGGAAGAACACCCGUGGCUAAGGCGGCUCUCUAGUACGGUACUGACGCUCGACGCGAAAAGCGUGGGGAGCGAACAGG